CCUACGGGGGGCAGCAGUGGGGAAUAUUGCGCAAUGGGCGAAAGCCUGACGCAGCGACGCCGCGUGAGGGAUGAAGGUCUUCGGAUCGUAAACCUCUGUUAGCAGGGAAGAAAGGUCACUGUGCUAAUCAGCAGUGAAUUGACGGUACCUGCAAAGGACGCACCGGCCACAUCCGUGCCAGCAGCCGCGGUAAUAAGGAGGGUGCGAGCGUUAAUCGGAAUUACUGGGCGUAAAGCGCUCGUAGGCGGGAUGUCAAGUCAAGGGUGAAAUCCCCGCGCUCAACGUGGGAACUGCCUUUGAAACUGGCAGACUGGAGUGUGUGAGAGGAUAGUGGAAUUCCAGGUGUAGGAGUGAAAUCCGUAGAUAUCUGGAGGAACAUCAGUGGCGAAGGCGACUAUCUGGCACAUAACUGACGCUGAGGAGCGAAAGCGUGGGUAGCAAACAGGAUUAGAUACCCGUGUAGUC
rnacentral:rRNA from 1 species